AAGUCGUAACAAGGUUUCCGUAGGUGAACCUGCGGAAGGAUCAUUAACACGUAUCCAACGUUAAACCCCCCUGUGAACCUUCAGAAGUCCGUUCUCGUCGCCUAAGCAAUCCCGGUAAAUCAUUGUCGACCAGUAUUGAUUCGUACAGUGACAUGGCUUCCAGUGAAUGAAAGUGUCACCGGAUAACGCCUCACGAUUGCUGGGUCGACCACCGGCCAGCUUCCAUGUCAUAGGGUCCUUUGAGAUCCCUUCGAAACCCCACUACUUUAUAGUUCGGGCUUGCUAAAUACACACCCAAAAAAACGAACAACUGUUAACAAUCGAUAAUUUGGUUCUC
rnacentral:misc_RNA from 1 species